UACAGAGGUCCCGAGCGUUGUUCGGAUUCACUGGGCGUAAAGGGUGCGUAGGUGGCAGGGUAAGUCGGAUGUGAAAGCUCGGAGCUCAACUCCGAAAUGGCAUUGGAAACUACCCAGCUCGAGGGUUGGAGGGGGGACUGGAAUGCUUGGUGUAGCAGUGAAAUGCGUAGAUAUCAAGCGGAACACCAGUGGCGAAGGCGAGUCCCUGGACAACUCCUGACACUGAGGCACGAAAGCUAGGGGAGCAAACAGG
rnacentral:rRNA from 2 species